UACGAAGGGGGCUAGCGUUGCUCGGAAUCACUGGGCGUAAAGCGCACGUAGGCGGCUUUUUAAGUCAGGGGUGAAAUCCUGGAGCUCAACUCCAGAACUGCCUUUGAUACUGAGAAGCUGGAGUCCGGGAGAGGUGAGUGGAACUGCGAGUGUAGAGGUGAAAUUCGUAGAUAUUCGCAAGAACACCAGUGGCGAAGGCGGCUCACUGGCCCGGUACUGACGCUGAGGUGCGAGAGCGUGGGGAGCAAACAGG
rnacentral:rRNA from 1 species